GGUGACUAUUUUUGAAUUCCUAUUUAUUUUGUGUGUUUGUCCCUAAUCUUUUUUUUUUUUAAUUCUAUGGCUUCCUAUCUGGCAGCUUACUGGGUAAUUUUUGAGGGAGAAGACACGUUGCAAUACAAGCUAACUCUGGCCGCUUAGUAACCUCUGGAGUUCUCAAAGGGACGUUUUCCUGUACUUUUUCAAAUAAUGAUGUUCAAAAAAAAAAAAACCGGUUACCUUGACAAGAGCGUCAUGUGUCUUUGCAAAAGGACGGCUGUGUUUGCAGUUGAGGCCUGGGCCCACCCUUCCCGUUUCUGUAGAUGCUGCAGCUUUAAUCAGAAAAGUCCACAGUUGCUGCUUCCCGAUCUCCGAGUUACUCCCUCCAAAUUGUCUUCUGACACCGUUGCUGAAGUCACCCUGUACACGUCCUAGGCACCGAUUUUUUUUUUUUUUUGCCAAUUUCUUACAGGUGGUUCAUCGAUCGAUGGCAUCCGCGUUUGAUAUCUUUUACACUUCAACCAAAAAUUUAUUAGGUAUUUUUCAAUGCUAAGUCUUGCCUUUUAUUUUUUAAUUUCACUGCCAAGUGUGCAGUGGUUCUAAGUGAAUCUGUGGGCAUUUUAGCCUGUGGUCUUGCCAGAUCUUUGCGAAUUACAGUGCUUAUAUGUCUAUUUAUUCAAUACCUGUCAUAUAAUAUCUAUCUGGGAAAAGAAACUUUCUCUUGUAGUGCCUCUCGACAAAGCACAAUUUCCCGCCUUUUUUUUUUUUGUGAAAUGAAGAAGAAAAAAAAACAAAUUGUGUUUUAUUGCAGUAUCAAUAAUGUGAAUAAGGAUUAAGAUAUUGUAAAUGUUCUUUUUUCCAUGUAAAUCAACUAUCUUUGUUAUCACUAAGUGAUAAUUAAUUUUUAACUUAUGUGCAUUGUUAGGCUGUUAGAGUUUUUUGGUUGUUAAAAUAAAAUGCAUUCAAUAAACCCGA